rnacentral:lncRNA from 1 species
GAACACCUUAGCUAGUGAUUUGUGUAGGAGGAAUUUGUGAUGGAUGUCGAUUGUUAGGGAAGGGAGAACCCAUAACUUAAUGCAGCAGAAUGGAGUUUAAAGGGAGAACUGGUAAAAAAUGAUUUUUCUUCUAGAAAUCUGACUUUUUUUUUUCUUUUUUUCUCCUGCAUAGCAUAGAGGAGAAGUCUUCCUUUGUAUCACGUUUCUGUUCUGCAAAGUGGCAAUAAUUGGCCUUCCUUUGGCUAAGGUGCCCUGGCUGGCUGGGGCUGUUGGUCGCAUGAUGAUGACAGAGGACAAAUUCGUCUCCAGAACUCACCUGGCAGCCAGCUUCCCCGUGUCCUUGCUGGAGAAGAGCUGGCAGGACGUGUGCUGUGUAUCGAUAAAACCAGAGGGAAACCCUGGGACCUCUCCGACCAGAGCUGGAAAUUAACUCGAUGCGAUUGUGUACGCAAUUUCUCUGCUCUGCUGCAGACUCAUCCAAGCCGUGGUGUUUGUGUGUCCCCUCCUGCAGUAAUGCUGGGGCUGGGGAAGCCAUCCUGUGACCACAUUUUGGUGACAAACUGUGAAUCACACACGGGUGUAAUCCCCAGUACGCCGAGGCUGGUGCAGGUUUGGGCUGAGAGCUGGUGGCUGUGUUGGGAAAGGCUCAGCAGCCUUUUAUCAGCCUGAAAUUUCAAAUUCAACCAGAAGAAGCAAAACCAUUCUUUCUCCUCUGUUUUGCCAGCGAGCUUUUAAUCAU